CUAGUACUCCCUCCGUUCGGAAUUAUUUAUCGUAGAAAUGGAUAUAUCUAGAUCCGUUCGGAAUUACUUGUCUCGGAAAUGGAUAUAUCUAGAACUAAAAUACAUCUAGAUACAUCCAUUUCUACGACAAAUAAUUCCGAACGGAGGGAGUAUCGC
rfam:Triticum aestivum genome assembly, contig: Triticum_aestivum_CS42_TGACv1_scaffold_392934_5AS